ensembl:snRNA U6 U6 spliceosomal RNA
GUGUUGUGUGAGAUAACACAUAUACCAAAAUUGGAUAGAUACAGAGAAGAUUAGCAUGGUCCCUUGCCAGAGGUGGACAGUAGUGAAGUAUUUUUACUUUGC